ensembl:lncRNA
CUCAGUCAGCACUGGGUGGGAACGUAGGGAUGGGGAAUGGUUGGGCUGGGAUUGCGGGAGAGCUGGGGCGGCUCGGCCUGCAGAAGAGGAGGCUCAGGGGGAUCCCAGGCACGGCCAUCAGUCCCUGCAGGGAGGUGCAGAGAGGACGGAGCCGGGCUGCACCCAGCGGUGCCCAGCAGCAGGACCAGAGGCGCCGGGCACACACUGCAGCCCUGCAGGUUUCCCUGUGUGCCGCCUCUGAGCCCCCACAUCGGGUCAGUGCCAUCGGAUAUUUCUGCCAAUGAUCACAAUGCAGGAGAUGAGUGCAUCCUGGGGAGAUCCACCGGGCAUCCUAAGGCACGAGGUGCUGCCGGCACUCCUGAGGUUGUUAAGGGGCUGCAGGGAGAACUGCAGGGCUCAGGGCAGUAGCUGGGGGCUCUUGGAGGGACUUUGAGGUGCUGCGCGUUCAGAACUGUGUUUUUUCCUCCCGUUUCACACCGAAGGUGGCAGUUCGGCUCCGUACCUCGAGGUGGCAGCAGGACCCCCAACAACGGCACCGUCCGCUGCCCGGAGCCCCGUGUACGGCUGUGAGAAUGAUGGAGGCUGUAAUAAACGUAGCACAUGCACAGGGCUUAUGAUUACUGUGACACAGGGAUGACAUAUUCAUAUAGCCUUUCUACUAGAUGGCCAGAGAGUAUUUCAGUGUUAAAGGGAUAUGAAUCACUGGAGAGUAUUUCAUCAUAGUUUAAGCCUAAGAGGGCACCGUCCUGGAAUAGCAUACAGAGUGAGCCUUAAGUGUUAUUCAGGUUAGAACCCUAAAGCAAAGCAAAACGUAAGAAAACAAACACACAAAACAACAGCCCCUCUCCUCUCCUCUCCUCUCCUCUCCUCUCCUCUCCUCUCCUCUCCUCUCCUCUCCUCUCCUCUCCUCUCCUCUCCUCUCCUCUCCUCUCCUCUCC